rnacentral:sRNA from 1 species
CUUCAGCCCCGAUUGUAACGGAAAUCCUCGAAGAGAUUGUAGUGGAAAGCGGGAAUAAGG